rnacentral:rRNA from 1 species
UACGUAGGGUGCAAGCGUUAAUCGGAAUUACUGGGCGUAAGGCGUGCGCAGGCGGUGAUGUAAGACAGAUGUGAAAUCCCCGGGCUUAACCUGGGAAUGGCAUUGGUGACUGUACGGCUAGAGUGUGUCAGAGGGGGGUAGAAUUCCACGUGUAGCAGUGAAAUGCGUAGAGAUGUGGAGGAAUACCGAUGGCGAAGGCAGCCCCCUGGGAUGACACUGACGCUCAUGCACGAAAGCGUGGGGAGCAAACAGG